CCUACGGGGGGCUGCAGUGGGGAAUUUUGGACAAUGGGGGCAACCCUGAUCCAGCCAUUCCGCGUGAGUGAAGAAGGCCUUCGGGUUGUAAAGCUCUUUCGCAAGGGAAGAAAACUUACUCAAUAACACUGGGUUAGGCUGACGGUACCUUGAUAAGAAGCACCGGCUAACUACGUGCCAGCAGCCGCGGUAAUACGUAGGGUGCGUGCGGUGAUCGGAAUUACUGGGCGUGAAGCGGGCAGUGACAGGUGAAAUCCCCGGGCUCAACCUGGGAACUGCGUUUGAAACUACAAGGCUAGAGUAUGGCAGAGGGGGGUAGAAUUCCACGUGUAGCAGUGAAAUGCGUAGAGAUGUGGAGGAAUACCAAUGGCGAAGGCAGCCCCCUGGGUCAAUACUGACGCUCAUGCACGAAAGCGUGGGGAGCAAACAGGAUUAGAUACCCCGGUAGUC
rnacentral:rRNA from 1 species